GACGAACGCUGGCGGCGUGCUUAACACAUGCGAGUCGAACGGAAAGGCCCUGCUUGCUGGGUACUCGAGUGGCGAACGGGUGAGUAACACGUGGGUGAUCUGCCCUGCACUUCGUGAUAAGCCUUGGAAACUGGGUCUAAUACCUGAUAGGAGCCACUUUUAGUGUGAUGGUUGGAAAGUUUUUUCGGUGUAGGAUGAGCUGGCGGCCUAUCAGCUUGUUGGUGGGGUAAUGGCCUACCAAGGCGGCGACGGGUAGCCGGCCUGAUAGGGUGGACGGCGACAUUGGGACUGAGAGGCGGCCGAGACUCCGACGGGAGGCAGAAGUGGGGAAUAUUGAACAAGGGGCGCAAGCCUGGUGCAGCGAGGCCGCGUGGGGGAUGACGGCCUUGGGGUUGAAAAAAACUUUCGCUAGGGACGAAGCUUUUUGUGACGGUACCUAGAUAAGAAGCACCGGCUAACUACGUG
rnacentral:rRNA from 1 species